rnacentral:rRNA from 1 species
GACGAACGCUGGCGGCGUGCCUAAUACAUGCAAGUAGAACGCUGAAGAGAGGAGCUUACUCUUCUUGGAUGAGUUGCGAACGGGUGAGUAACGCGUAGGUAACCUGCCUUGUAGCGGGGGAUAACUAUUGGAAACGAUAGCUAAUACCGCAUAACAAUGGAUGACACAUGUCAUUUAUUUGAAAGGGGCAAUUGCUCCACUACAAGAUGGACCUGCGUUGUAUUAGCUAGUAGGUGAGGUAAUGGCUCACCUAGGCGACGAUACAUAGCCGACCUGAGGGGGUGAUCGGCCACACUGAGACUGAGACACGGCCCAGACUCCUACGGGAGGCAGCAGUAGGGAAUCUUCGGCAAUGGGGGCAACCCUGACCGAGCAACGCCGCGUGAGUGAGGAAGGUUUUCGGAUCGUAAAGCUCUGUUGUAAGUCAAGAACGGGUGUGAGAGUGGAAAGUUCACACUGUGACGGUAGCUUAACAGAAAGGGACGGCUAACUACGUG